UGGGGAAUUUUCCGCAAUGGGCGAAAGCCUGACGGAGCAAUACCGCGUGAGGGAGGAAGGCUCUUGGGUUGUAAACCUCUUUUCUCAGGGAAGAAUCCUGACGGUACCUGAGGAAUCAGCAUCGGCUAACUCCGUGCCAGCAGCCGCGGUAAGACGGAGGAUGCAAGCGUUAUCCGGAAUUAUUGGGCGUAAAGCGUCCGUAGGCGGUUAAUCAAGUCCGCUGUCAAAGCCUACAGCUCAACUGUGGAAUGGCAGUGGAAACUGAAUAACUAGAGUGCGGUAGGGGUAGAGGGAAUUCCCAGUGUAGCGGUGAAAUGCGUAGAUAUUGGGAAGAACACCAGUGGCGAAGGCGCUCUACUGGGCCGCAACUGACGCUGAGGGACGAAAGCUAGGGGAGCGAAAGGGAUUAGAUACCCGUGUAGUCC
rnacentral:rRNA from 1 species